rnacentral:lncRNA from 1 species
AGGAUGUUGUGCUGGCCCCCAGAGAGUUUCCCGGUGUUGUCUGUCCCCCCACCGGGUCCGUCUGCCCACCCUGCCAGGCCCGGUUGCCUGGGGGUUUUCCCAAAACUCAACCCCCAGUAGCUAAAACGCUGGGUUGGUGUGGAAAGGGGACUUUUCCCGGGCUGAAGGGGAAGCAGCGGGGUCUCACACCAGCCCUGGGGGUCGGCGUCCUUGCCGUCCAACAAAAUGACUCGGGGUGGGAGGACGGGGGGAAAAAAAAGCUGCACUCCCCAGAAUUCCCCCACCGGUGGCUUGGCAGCAGCCGCCUGACAAAGUGUCUUCCCCGUCAGGAGGCUCCUGGCCCCUGGCCAGGUGGGACCCUGCCAGCGCCGAUGGAUGCCCGAGGUGCUUCCAUGCCCCCUUGCUCCUGGCUAACCAGCACCAGUUCUUCAGUGGCAAGCUUUAUGUCCUUCUCCAGUAGCUAAAGCUGCCAGUUGAAGAACUGUUGAAUGUAGCCACUCUCUUCUUGUCACUGGGACCUUGGAUGCCAGCCAGACCCGUGCCCCGAGUGACCAGGAUCAGCCAGUCUGAAGCGUCCUGUGGAUUUGAGGGCUGAGGAUGAGUCCAGCCGGGAUGAAGAAGUCUCUCCACAGCCUCCAGACAGAGCCUUGGCUGGGGGAUUGCCAGGCAGCCCUAUCAGCGGGGUCCCGCUGCAGUGGGGUGUCACUGAGCUGAGAGGAGACCAAAAGAGGCAUUAAACUUUCUGUUUUGCUCAACAGUUCAGUUUUAGGAAGUUUGUUGCCCAUGGGGUGCCCGGACUUGCCUGGUGGGUAGAUGGUGGGGGUUGUAAACCCUUUGGGGUGCUGGGGGGACCACAGCACCAGAGCUCAAUCCCUGAUGCCCCAUUGGGGUCUGCAGGUGGAGGGUUGGUUGUUCAGGUCCCCUGGGUUUGCCCCGAGCCAGAGGUGAGCCAAGGCUGGGCGUAGCCCACAGGUCUGACCUGCUGUUGAGCUCAGGAGCUGGAUUAAUCCUGCGACAUGCCAGGCAGUGGGAUGGAGCCUGGGGAGAGGGCUGGCUCCACACCCACGCUGCCCUGGUGCGGGUCAGGGCCGGCUGCGGUGGGGCCGGG